AGCUGCCCACUAGGUGCUCUGUAUCCCCAGCUCUCGGCCCGAGCUCGGCACGUGGUAGGAGCUGUGCUCCUGUUUAAGGGAGCGGCGCGCUCAGGCUUGCUUCCCUUCCCUCGUGGAGAGAGCCUCUGAGGCCCUGGCUACUAAAGGUAUUGAAGGAUGUGCUUCACCAAUAUGUGGAAGUAAACCAAGGAAAUGGGAAAUAAUGGAUGUAACUGGAAACAGAUUUGACACAGGAGAGAAAAAGGGGGUCUCUAGGACACUGAUGGAAGAUGAUAGCUGUAAACCAACACAGACUGAAGCAGAUUAAGAUACCAGGAUUUCUACACAAAAAUAUUUCCCAUGCUGAUCAAGUGUCUUCACUUCAUUUUAGUGCAAUGCCUAAAAUUCUUGCCAUCUUUACUGUGAAUAAAUGGACUGCUCAACUUUUCUCAUCAA